rnacentral:rRNA from 1 species
GCAAGUCGAACGGUAGAGAUCCUUCGGGAUCUUGAGAGUGGCGAACGGGUGAGUAACGCGUAUGCAACCUACCUUUUACCGGGGGAUAGCCCGGGGAAACCCGGAUUAAUACCCCAUAGUAUCAGUUGACGGCAUCGUUUACUGAUUAAAGAUUCAUCGGUAAAAGAUGGGCAUGCGUAGGAUUAGCUAGUUGGCGGGGUAACGGCCCACCAAGGCGACGAUCCUUAGGGGUUCUGAGAGGAAGGUC